rnacentral:rRNA from 1 species
ACCCGACUGCUAUCAGAGUGGGACUAAGCCAUGCGAGUCGACAUAGCAAUAUGUGGCAUACGGCUCAGUAACACGUAGUCAACAUGCCCAGGGGACGUGGAUAACCUCGGGAAACUGAGGAUAAACCGCGAUAGGUCAUCACUUCUGGAAUGGGUAAUGACUUAAACCUGUAUGGCCCCUGGAUUGGACUGCGGCCGAUCAGGCUAUUGGUGAGGUAAUGGCCCACCAAACCUGUAACCGGUACGGGCUCUGAGAGGAGGAGCCCGGAGAUGGGCACUGAGACAAGGGCCCAGGCCCUAUGGGGCGCAGCAGGCGCGAAACCUCUGCAAUAGGCGAAAGCUUGACAGGGUUACUCUGAGUGAUUUCCGUUAAGGAGAUCUUUUGGCACCUCUAAAAAUGGUGCAGAAUAAGGGGUGGGCAAGUCUGGUGUCAGCCGCCGCGGUAAUACCAGCACCCCGGGUGGUCGGGACGUUUAUUGGGCCUAAAGCAUCCGUAGCCGGUUCUACAAGUCUUCCGUUAAAUCCACCUGCUUAACAGAUGGGCUGCGGAAGAUACUAUAGAGCUAGGAGGCGGGAGAGGCAAGCGGUACUCGAUGGGUAGGGGUAAAAUCCGUUGAUCCAUUGAAGACCACCAGUGGCGAAGGCGGCUUGCCAGAACGCGCUCGACGGUGAGGGAUGAAAGCUGGGGGAGCAAACCGGAUUAGAUACCCGGGUAGUCCCAGCUGUAAACGAUGCAGACUCGGUGAUGAAUUGGCUUAUUGCUAAUUCAGUGCCGCAGGGAAGCCGUUAAGUUUGCCGCCUGGGGAGUACGGUCGCAAGACUGAAACUUAAAGGAAUUGGCGGGGGAGCACCACAAGGGGUGAAGCCUGCGGUUCAAUUGGAGUCAACGCCGGAAAUCUUACCGGGGGCGACAGCAGAGUGAAGGUCAAGCUGAAGACUUUACCAGACAAGCUGAGAGGAGGUGCAUGGCCGUCGCCAGCUCGUGCCGUGAGGUGUCCUGUUAAGUCAGGUAACGAGCGAGAUCCCUGCCUCUAGUUGCUACCAUUAUUCUCAGGAGUAGUGGAGCUAAUUAGAGGGACCGCCGUCGCUGAGACGGAGGAAGGUGGGGGCUACGGCAGGUCAGUAUGCCCCGAAACCCUCGGGCCACACGCGGGCUGCAAUGGUAAGGACAAUGAGUUUCGAUUCCGAAAGGAGGAGGCAAUCUCUAAACCUUACCACAGUUAUGAUUGAGGGCUGAAACUCGCCCUCAUGAAUAUGGAAUCCCUAGUAACCGCGUGUCACUAUCGCGCGGUGAAUACGUCCCUGCUCC